GACGAACGCUGGCGGCGUGCCUAAUACAUGCAAGUCGAACGCAGUGGGGACGGGUGAGUAACACGUGGGUAACCUCCCAUCAGAGGGGAUAACACUUGGAAACAGGUGCUAAACCGAUACUGAUGGAUGGACCCGCGGUGCAUUAGCUAGUUGGUGAGGUAACGGCUCACCAAGGCCACGAUGCAUAGCCGGCCUGGGAGGGGUGUCGGCCACACUGGGACUGGGAAACGGCCCAGACUCCUACGGGAGGCAGCAGGAGGGAAUCUUCGGAAAUGGGCGGAAGGCUGACCGAGCAACGGCGCGUGAGUGAAGAAGGUUUUCGGGUCGUAAAGCUCUGUUGUUAGAGAAGCGGUAACUAACCAGAAAGGGACGGCUAACUACGUGCCAGCAGCCGCGGUAAUUC
rnacentral:rRNA from 1 species